rnacentral:hammerhead_ribozyme from 1 species
ACUCAGCUGACGAGUCCUAGAUAGGGCGAUAUGCGCAUCCUGAAU